CCUCCGCGCCUCGGCCUGGUCGUUUAACCGAUUCUUUCACCCGCAGGUCUCAACCCAAGCACCCGCUCCUCUGCGUCCCGGGGCCGGACGGAGGGAUGAGGCAGGGGGGGCCCGGGCAGCGCCGUUGCUGCUCCCCCCGCCGCCCGCAGCCAUGGAAACGGGGGAGGCGGACGGCGCCCGCCGAGGUACACAAAGCCCCGAGAGGAAAAGGCGAAGCCCAGUGCCGCGGGCGCCCAGCGCGAAGCUGAGGCCAGUGGCUGCGGCCCAGGCCAUGGAUCCGGUGGCGGCCGAAGCCCCCGGCGAGGCCUACCUGGCUCGGCGGCGGCCCGAGGGUGGCGGCGGGUCCGCGCAGCCGCGCUACAGCCUGGUGGCCGAGAUCGGGCGCGGCAGCUACGGCGUGGUUUACGAGGCCGUGGCCGGGCGCAGCGGGGCCCGGGUGGCGGUCAAGAAGAUCCGCUGCGACGCCCCGGAAAACGUGGAGCUGGCGCUGGCGGAGUUCUGGGCCCUGACCAGUCUCAAGCGGCGCCACCAGAACGUGGUGCAGUUUGAGGAGUGUGUCCUGCAGCGCAACGGCCUAGCCCAGCGCAUGAGCCACGGCAACAAGAACUCGCAGCUUUACCUGCGCCUGGUGGAGACCUCGCUCAAAGGAGAAAGGAUCCUGGGUUAUGCUGAGGAGCCCUGUUAUCUCUGGUUUGUCAUGGAGUUCUGUGAAGGUGGAGACCUGAAUCAGUACGUCCUGUCCCGGAGGCCGGACCCAGCCACCAACAAAAGCUUCAUGCUACAGCUCACAAGCGCCAUUGCCUUCCUGCACAAAAACCACAUCGUGCACAGGGACCUAAAGCCAGACAACAUCCUUAUCACGGAGAGGUCUGGCACCCCCAUCCUCAAGGUGGCAGACUUUGGACUAAGCAAGGUCUGUGCUGGGCUAGCCCCCCGAGGCAAAGAGGGUAAUCAAAACAACAAAAAUGUGAAUGUGAAUAAAUACUGGCUGUCCUCAGCCUGCGGCUCAGACUUCUACAUGGCCCCUGAAGUCUGGGAGGGACACUACACAGCCAAGGCUGACAUCUUUGCCCUGGGCAUUAUCAUCUGGGCAAUGAUAGAAAGAAUCACUUUCAUUGACUCUGAGACCAAGAAGGAGCUCCUGGGGACCUAUAUCAAACAGGGGACCGAGAUCGUCCCUGUUGGUGAGGCGCUGCUAGAAAAUCCAAAGAUGGAGUUGCACAUCCCCCAGAAACGCAGGACUUCCAUGUCUGAGGGGAUCAAGCAGCUCUUGAAAGAUAUGUUAGCUGCUAACCCACAGGACCGGCCUGAUGCCUUUGAACUUGAAACCAGAAUGGACCAGGUCACAUGUGCUGCUUAAAAUUCAGGGCAAAGCAUCUUGGUUGUUUUUAAACUAGGGUUAUCAGUUAAGAUACAGUUGCAGCAGUGGAACUAUAGGAUCUACAGGUCCAAACGCGGCAGAAGCUCUGAAAACACAGUGCCAUGUUGCUCUCCGAAAGGCUGUGCUCCCUCCUCCCACGGUGUGUGUCCUUUUCAUGGCACCCUCACCCAGCUCCGAGCAGGGUUCUGGUUCAGUGGCUGAGGACCACGGUGUUUAAAUCUCAUACAUUCGUCAUUUCUGGUCGGGACAGAUGGCUGGGAGAGAAUGGGCUCAUCGAGUAUGCCAGUUCCUGCUGUGGCCAGGUUGAUCCCCGGGACCCACAGUCUCGUCAAGUCUCACAGAGGACGGCAGAGGGUACAGGUGCCCGGCCAGCGGCCAUCUCCCGACAGCUGGAGCUCCAGCAAUGUGAAGCUUUGUUUGCAUUUUCUCCCUUCAGUUUUGUUUAAAUUUUUUUGUCUUUUUUUUUUUUUUAAUUUAAACGAUUUAAGACUUCAAAAGAGCAGAAGCUCUGCUGUGGACAGGCACCAGUUUCUUUAAAGAAAUUUAAUAUGGACAAAGCAUUUGUGUAAAUUUCAUCUUUAAUUUUUAUAAGGGGUUAGGGCACUAUUUUGUUUUUGUUCUUGCUUUUCCCUGUCUUUCUUUUACCUGUUUCUCAGUUCUGCUUAUAACACCUCACUUCCCCCCGAGGAGGCCCCUCUCCGCGGCGAUGGGGGCAUUUCUCCUGGAACGGAAUGGAGACAGGAGGAGGCCCCUGGGCCACCUUCCCACCAGGCGCAGGAACUGCCGACCCGAGCUGCUCCCGGCCAGCUCUUGGCCUUGGGUAAAGAUCCGCCUGGAGGAGGAAGACCAGCGUUUGCCCGGGAGAACUCAAGAAAGCAGCUCCCACCGGGGGUGUGUGCUCUUUAAGCUGUGGAAGCCCCGGCCACACCAGGACUGACGGUGGUGGGACUCCAUUCCCCCCACUGCCCUCCGUGACCGAGAUCUCUGAAGGGGCGGGGGACGGGACAGAAGUGAUCAUCUCCCACUUCCUGCGGUUGAGCGGUCAGCCCACCCCAACUCUACACGCCUACGUUUCUGUUAGUGUUCUUCCUCCCAGCAGAAAUCCCCAGGAAGAAACUGUCAUGCCAAACCUCUGCCCAGGUUGUCACGGAGACCGCCUGAGUCCCUGCGAUCCUGUCGUGAGCAUUGCCAUAGAACAGGGUGCCCUGGACUGGCUGUCGCUGCACUGAAGGGUGUGCCCUAUGUGCCGGGACCCCUGGUAUCACUUAUGGUAACAGUGUCGUGCCAUCUCCCUCACCCCAGGGGCACACUGUUAGGUGUAAAUGUGUCUGACCGGAAAAGGAUGGAACAGCCGAGAGUUGGGGGGUGACUGGGCAGACCCCUGCAGCCUUUAGGUGCCUGAUUGUGGGUUUGCCACCUAGAGAUUCCCCAGCUCUGGAGCCCACCAGCAGGGUCAGUAUAGCUGCUCUUCCGCUCUUCACAGCACUCGCAGCCCCUCUUCACAGGCUUCUGAACCUGGCAUUGUCCCCCUGCACCCCCCCGUUUCCCCUCCCAGCUCCCGGCAGGACAGAGGAACCCUCCUCUGUUGGCCCCCUGUGUCACCUGGGCACUGCUUUAGCUACUCCAGAAGCUCUUCACCCUGUGACAGCCAAGCAGGAAAGGGCCUUUGGGGAGGGGGAAGGGAUUCCUCUUUUGUGUUUAUUUUUGGUUUUUGUCUUCUCUCAGCCAGCAUAGGAUCAGUAGGGGAGAUCGCUGGAGGGCCUUUCAGUUCUGUGUGACCAAGGGGGCCUUCCCCACAGCAGCCCUGGUCCUGCAGCUCUGGGCGUUUGGGAGAAGCUAGCGUGGUGUCAGCCCAAACUUGACAAUAUGUUUGCUCACAUUCUUUCUGCCUUUUCUCAAGCUCCUUGGAUACCAAGGCUCCUUCCUCCUGGGCAGACAGCUAGCUGGCUGUGGUUAGCAGGACCAGCAGGGCUGCAGGUGGUAACCAGGCCCUUCCAUUCCUUGGCUGAAAUCCUUUGUGAUCACCUGCCUCUUAUCGCUUCUUCUCGGGUGCCCUGUGUGUGCUCUAGGCUGCACCUGGGAGGUUGGGAGCCCAGCAUCCCCUAAUUGCAGUGCACACUCCAGCCCCACCCCCUGCCUUCCCUGCGGCCAGCUGUCUCUGCACAUGAGCGAAUGAGAAAAACAGUCCCCAAACUCAGCAGCCCCCUCUCCCUGCUACAGCUCGGGUUCUGAAGUCCCCAGUGAGGGCUCAAGCCUAACAAGUCAUUUGCCUUUUGCUUGUCUUUUUCUUCUGCCCUCCCCAGCCUCUUAGCUCUGAGUAGGUCUUGGAGCUGCAAUGCACCCCCCUUUGUUAUUUUUCCUGGCGCCAGGGUAUCCCCUAUAGGUGACGGGAUGUCCAUAACUUUUGGGUAAGGUGGGCAGCCUGGGUAGCCAGCUUCCAUGUGCCCUUACCUUGUAGGGCUCCAGCCCUCCUGGCUUGGUGGUGGGCCCUCCUUCCCUAGCUCUUGAGGGCCAGCUCGUUAGCCCAAGUGCCUGUCUCCCCUCUCUCCUUCCCCUGCUCUCUCCACUUUGUCCACCUGAAGUUGGCGUCGGUCCUAAGUCAGUCCAGUCCAUGGACUAGCCUGGGGUGAGGUGGGUGGCCCCUGUCCUCCUUCUCAGCCACUUGCCACCUGUUCCCGCCGUGGUCGGCUUCCUCCCCUCUUCCUGCCUUUUCACCCUCUCCACCCGUCUCAGGCCUGGCAGCAGCUCUGUGGUGCAUCACCUCAGUGCCACCAAGUUUGUUAAGUUUGUCCAAGUUCCAGAAGUUUCCAAACUUUAAAAUAGCAGUCCGUUACUCGCUUCUCCAGUCCGAAAGGAGAGCCUGUUGGAGGGAGAGUCUGGGCCCGGUGCCCCUAAGUGAGAGGAGUCAGCAGACAGAUCAUGCAUAGUGCCUUAUUCCAUUGUCUUCCCUGGCCAGACCCCGCUCCCCUGGAGUCUGUGUCUUCUUCCUCGUUUGUGUCCAUCUGUCUCUUAAACUCUCCCUCCCAUUCACCCAUAGCCACAUGGGGUUCCCCUCUCCCCUCUCCUCCCCUCUCCUUCCCCCAUCCCUUCCUGGGGGCUGCAGCCAGGUACACAUCUCCUGCCCACCACCAGGGCGAUCUCUAGCAGCUUUAGCUGAGGAUGGAAAAUGCUUUAGGCAGGUGCACUCUGCCUCUUACUACCCAGCAGUCCCUGCCUCUUACCUCUAGCCAGGAGGAUGCCACGAUUGUUCAUACAAGACCGGCUCCAUCUGACCCCCUUCUGGGCACUGGGGACUAAGCCGCAGGCCUCAGCCUCAUCUCCUCCCGGAGGCACUGGGAGGAGGACGGGACCUCUCCUCCCGCCCGGAUGUGGUUGCCCCUCAUGGCUGCCUUUCUGAGGGCGUGCAUAUGUUUACUUGAGAAAUACCCUGUUUACAGCCAGAGGAGAAUGGUGCCCAACACUAGGUGGAGAGUGACUCGGGACAGCCUGGCCUCUAUGGCACUGCCGGCGGUGGCCCCAGCGUGAAUGAAGGCAGAGGCUGGGGCGCUCCCUGCACUCCCUCUACUCCCCGACCCUGCGGUGCUACAACCACUGGCCACCUUCCUCAGCCUCCUGGUCCCGGACAUUCCCCACCUGCAUUCCUUCCUCCAAGGUCCUCAGCUCCUUAACAUAUCAGUUGCCUCCUAGAGAACCAGUGUGUGGAGCAAUAAGAUUUUUUUUUUUUUUUGCUUGAGUCUUUUUAUAAGAAAAGGAAAAGAGUUGACAUUGUGGGACUCUCCUCUUUGUGCUGUUGACUGUUUGCCUUCUUAGAAGACGGAUGGACAUCUGGGUUCUGACUUUGGGGUAUCUUGGAAGCUUGGAAAAGCAAGUCAGGCUUUUGCCCCUAAGAAGGGGAUCCUGACUCUGCCCUCACCAUGCUCCAUGCCACCUGAGCUUCCAGCCCCUCCCUCCAAGUGCGCCUCCCACCCUUGAUCCUGCUGGUGCCCCCACACAUAUCUGGGGCACUGGUGGCCCGACUCUAAGGGGGCUCUCGGGUUAUUGCCUCCCAUGGCCCUUUCCCCUUCUAGGUUUGUCUGGUGGCCCCCAGAUAGGCAGCUGCUGAGUCUCCUAGGAGGACAAUAGCCGAACUUGAACUAUUCAGUUCUUCUGGCCGCCAGGCUUAGGGCUGAGGCCCAGAGACACUGCCUCACGCUGGGCUGAGCCACAGCCUUCGGGACAACACAGGCCCAUCUCUGAUCCUGUCCACCUGAGCAUGGAGAGGUGCCUCGGGAGGGGAAGCAGGAGGUGUGGUGUGAGGGUUGACUGUCACUGGCUGCCCGGAGCGCCCCUAGAAUUGCAGGGGUCACCGGAGGGAGGCCACAGGAGGAAGGGAGUUUAUUUAGGGACAUUUUAAAGACCGAGUUCAUGCCCCGGGGCCUCUCUUCAUCAGAGCAGGGGAGUAUGUUGCGAUGAUUUAACAGUUGUGUGGGGCCAUUUCAGUGAGGGAAGAUUUAACCCAGGCUCAAAGUUUGUUUCAAAUACUAGUUAAUAAACCUAUUUUCCUUAUUUUCUUUUUUUGCACAGAAGCUGGUAAUCUAGGACCUACGUGUGAACAACUUUAUAUGAGUAUUUUUUGUACUUGGUUUACUUGGGUUGGUAUGAUACAUGAUAUUUAAGUUCCUUGAACACUGUGGAGCCCCUAAUGUGUAUGAAUGACUGAGGCUUUGUAAAUUAAGGGACGUUUGUGUGAAUAAAGUUAUUUGAUGGGGUCAAAGAAGCCAUAUGUGA